rnacentral:rRNA from 1 species
GAUGAACGCUGGCGGCGUGCCUAAUACAUGCAAGUCGAGCGAACAGAUGAGGAGCUUGCUCCUCUGACGUUAGCGGCGGACGGGUGAGUAACACGUGGAUAACCUACCUAUAAGACUGGGAUAACUUCGGGAAACCGGAGCUAAUACCGGAUAAUAUAUUGAACCGCAUGGUUCAAUAGUGAAAGACGGUUUUGCUGUCACUUAUAGAUGGAUCCGCGCCGCAUUAGCUAGUUGGUAAGGUAACGGCUUACCAAGGCAACGAUGCGUAGCCGACCUGAGAGGGUGAUCGGCCACACUGGAGCUGAGACACGGUCCAGACUCCUACGGGGGGCAGCAGUAGGGAAUCUUCCGCAAUGGGCGAAAGCCUGACGGAGCAACGCCGCGUGAGUGAUGAAGGUCUUCGGAUCGUAAAACUCUGUUAUUAGGGAAGAACAAAUGUGUAAGUAACUAUGCACGUCUUGACGGUACCUAAUCAGAAAGCCACGGCUAACUACGUG